GCUGGGGAAUGAUAAUAGGGAAACCGGUGCGAGGCCGGUACAGUCACCUCUACUGUAACGUGGACGAAGAAACGAUUAUACCAUUGGCAUUUAUAUGCUGAGAAGGUGUUUCGGAGGAUGAAGCGAAGUCAGAAGACCUGCCGUGAUGAUU
rnacentral:ncRNA from 1 species